GAUGGGGCAUCCCAGCUGUGGUGGCUUCUCAGCAUGGCAUGCUCUUUAAGAGAUUUUCUGUUGUAUUUACUCUCCGUAAGUGAAGUUUAUAAAAUGUCUUCUUUGGGGUUCAGGAGGUUGGAUUUCAAAGCAGUGCAUAUAGAGGAGACCUCUUCCUUCCAACUGUUCAAGGCUAGAUGGUAGAGAUCACUCUCCCAAGAGACAAUCUGUAGUCUCUAUUGUAUUGUGGCAGGUGGUAGCAAACUCUAGGUUAGGAACCCAACUGUGAUGUAUUAGCAAGAGACACUGGGCACACGUCCUCCAAUCAGAUUAAUCAGGUAUGGAACUACCCAGCAUAAACAGUUGAGAGUAGCAUUGGCUGGGAGGCUGGCAAGGCAAACCUGGGACAUACUCAGAAACACUGCUUACUUGCCUUCCUAGAAUCCUAUCUGCAGCACAACAGGGGCUCCCAGAAGAUUGGAUGAACUUCACUGUGAGUAUACAUUUUGUUGAUACUUGUGAGCAUACAGUUUGUUCAGGCUAGGAUGACUCUGUAACUCCUUGAGUGCACAUCAGGUGGGGGUACAGCGAGACCUUUAUACUUGAGUGCCAGGAUCCUGGUUGCAUGCUGGAGGGUUGAAGUUGCUAGAAAUCUGGCUAUGUCUCUAAAAGGAUGCUAUGUUUUUUGAAACCCCUAGCAAGUGUUCUCAGUAUGGGUACUGUAAAAGGCCCAAAGAUACACAGGUUGAAAUACAUAAAUAUGUUUGUUGACCUUCUAGGUGGAGGACACUGGUCCAAGUUGCUGCACUCAUUCAUAUUGUACUGGCUUCUUUAUCUGGGAUCACAGAUUUAUCACUGAUCCCUCAAGAAGAAAAAAAAAAAAAAAAGGCACCUCCCACCUCCCUUCCCACACCUGUGGAUCCUAAGACUUUUUUCGGUUCCUUCUCUUACUGUGGCCUAAGCUCAAACUACUUGUGGUUGGUGUUAUAGGUGUUAACAGACAAAACAAUAAACAACGUAUGUAGGAGGCUAUCUUUCUGGAAGAUUUCUGUCUUCAAGGACACUAAUUUUUCUAAAUGUUUGGAAAUCAAUUCCUAAAUUCUAUCAGUGCACAGUGAGUGAGGGUAGUUCGGAAAGUGGAGGCCAUAUACAGUUAGACUCUUUCCAGCUCCCACCUUCCUUCUCCCCUCCCCCGGCCCCGCCCCCCAACCACACCCUGGGCUUCUUUGCAUGUAAACUCUGUCUGCCUGGAGAUGGAUGUGGCACAGAACUAAGCCCCUGGAAGAUGUGCUCCAGGCCUUGGGAAACACAUACUCUAUGACAGAUGGCGGCAAAUUAAGCUGGCAAUUGAAAAAGCCAGAGCGUUUCCAGGACCUCUGUUAGAGGAGUGAUUCCAGAGGGGGAGAGGCAGAGAAGACAAAUUGCUGGAAAGUGGCCAGAACCAUUUGGUGCUCGACAUUAAUUUGGUCAGUAAACAAUUCCGGAACACCUAGAUAGAAGAAGCUAUUCUGGAUUCCAUAGGCACACACGAAGAUCGGAGAGACCAACAUUUCGUCCUGUAUUUGGGAAGAUGGACAGCACACGGAGAGGUGCAUGGACAAUUCUAGGCUGGCAGAAGUCUGAACAAGGGCUUGUGUAAGGGUGAGCUGAACAUUAUAGCCACCACACAAUCAUAUGCUAUUGCAUGUUGUUAAGUCAGGCCUGGAUGCUGUGAAGAGGGUGGGAGAAACAAAAUUCUGGCGCUGGAAGGGACACCAGGCCCUCAAUUUAAAGAUGGCAAAACUGGGGCGCCUGGGUGGCUCAGUCAGUUAAGCGUCCAACUUCGGCUCAGGUCAUGAUUGCAUGGUCCGUGGGUUUGAUCCCCGCACUGGGCUCUGUGCUGACAGCUCACAGCCUGGAGCCUGCUUCGAGUCUGCGUCUCCCUCUCUCUCUGCCCGUCCCCCACUCAAGCUCUGUCUCUCUCUCUCAAAAUAAACAUGAAAAAAAAAAUUAAAGAUGAUAAAACUGAAGCUCCUCUGCAAGAUGAAGUGGUUUAUUCAAGGUCGGGGUCACUCAUUUGGAACUCAGUGAUUAAUAGUACUACUCUUAGUGGUACUAGUAAUACAACUAACAAUAGUACUAAUACUGUUAGGUACUAAUGAUGGUACUGACAUGGUUAUUAUGUGCCAGCCACUAAUCUAGGCGCUUCAGGUAUAUUAACUAAUCUAACACAGCAGGCUAUGCUAUUUUCACGUCCUAAAUAGUAUCUUCAUAUAUAGAAAAACUGAGGCAGAAGGGUACAGGUACCUUGCCCGAAGUCCAGCCAGUAAGUGAUGGAACUGAGACUCACACCCUGCAGUCAGGCUCCAGUUCUUGUGCUCUUAGUUGCUGAGAUCCUCAUGGCCCCUCAGGUCUGUGACUCCUGGUCCAGCGCUCCUUGUCCUUGGACUGGGCAUGUCAGUGAGGUGAGGUGACACUGAAUGAGGGAGUGACAUGACAAAAGUGAUGUUUAAGGAUGACCAGUGUGGCUUCAAUAGCCAGGGUAGACCAGAGAAGAAAUAGAGAAGAGAGAGCAGGUAGAAGAUUGUCUAAAUACAGUUGUGAUGAAUGUUUGGACCAUGACAGGAAUAGAGAAGCUUACAUUAGACAGGAAUGAUUGGCUAGCAGUCAUUUACCCCAUAGUAUAAAUCAGUCUGUCCUGUUUCUUACCCUAGAAAACAAAACUCUGACUGCAGAAGAAAGGAGUAGAGAGAGGCUACAGUGAAGGGAAGGGGCAAAGGAACAAAAGUGGAAAUAGAACAGAUACUGAUGACUUCACAGUAUUCCUCACAGAGGUCCUGGCCUUUGGGGAUGGUUUUAACUUACUUCAGGUAACUGCCAAUGUCCAUUGCUUCUAAAUGUUAAGAAUGAAGACAAUAAGAAUGAUGCUAUCUCUUAGUGGGAAUGAGACUUUAACAAGUAGGUAAAGAUUGUAUUAGGAGCCCAGCCUAUUUUUACAGAUUGGGGGCUCCCUUAGGGAAAGACUUGUCUCACCACUGCUAGGGGGCUGGUCAGCAGACAUUUUUCAGCUGUAGAGAGCCUCCUUGUCCAAGGCCCUGGCCUUUGCUAGGCAAACCACGUCCAGUGACUGACCAAUGCAAGGAUAUAAAGACCAGGACAGAAUCUCAGAGGAAGGGGCCAUAAGAAGCUGGGGAGAGGACCCCAUAAAGGAUCACUGACUGUGUGAAUGUGUUCAUGGAAUGAGGUAUGACUAGAUUUCUCAAGAUACAGCCCUCAUAGAUAAAUUUCCACGAUAAAGGGAAGCAAGAACUAUACUUUGAGAAGAAGAGAACAGAAGAUAAAUAGCUGUUUGGAUUAAUGGUAAACUGGACAGAGAAGGCCGGAAAACAGAGGAGACUCUUCUAGAUGCUUCUGAUUGGUUCUAAGAAUACUGUGUGUAUGUGGAGUCAAACGUUUAGGGAACCGGCCCAUAUUUGAAUGUGAAGGUCUCAUUCCGUCUCGGAGUAAUAUUGCCAUUGGCAUGCUCCACACAAGCUGCCCUCAGAUGCUCCUUUUCAAACGCAGGACGUGAGCAGUUUCCCAAAUAUCCACCAGAUGGUACCUUCCUACCAGAAAUUAGGUUGCAGGUUGUGGAAAUCCGCGUUGUUUUUCCACCCCGCCGACAAGCCGCAGAAUCAGAUGCCUGCCCCUGGCUGCCACGAGAGGAACAGAAGCUGAUAGGAACAAAUCUCGGGGUGGGAGCCGUAAAGGGUGGGGGUGGGGGCGGUUACUUUGUUCUUAUUUUCAAGAAUAUGGGGCAGAACUCGAGGCGUCCUUUUUGGUGGUGGGGAGAGCCACGUGCAGGUAUGUGGAAUCAAGUCGUAGAGAAGUCUCUGAGGGAGCAAAGGACUGUGAGUUUAGCCCCUGAGUGGGCCUGGUCGUAAGUCCUCAAAGAUGCCUUUGUGCCGUCACUCUGGAGUCAAAGCGCUGCUAGUGCUUUGAAAUGGUAACCAGUUGCCCGGAAAAGAAAGCCUUUGUUGGAGAGACUUCCUUAUCGUUCAACAGUUUGGGUUCCAAGGCCUGAGCCGUGGUCUCCCCAGGUUGCUCAGUGUCCUUGGACGGAGAAGGCACCUGAUGUUUACUGCAGAGCCACCACUGUCUCCGGGGUUCUCUGGUACUUUCCUGCUCUUAGCACUGAAAGUAAGGCACACUGGGGUUGGGGAUCCUGGCUGACUGGACUGCACACACCAGAGGGCGAGGCCAGACCUUUAUACACUCAGUGAGCUGGGUGCCUCGGGGAAGUGCAGUUCUAUUUUCAAAUAAUGAAUCAUUUUGUUGCUGAUGUUUUCUUACCAGAUUCCCUUGUCCCUUUAGCCAGUGAGACUUACAUCAGCAAAGGCAAAGUUCUGUUAGAAAGGGGUCUUCUCUUGGUUUCUGAGGAGCUUGGGAAGUUUAGGCCUUAGCCAAUAGAUUUGGGAGAAGAUGUGGUAAGUAAGUACAGUUUUCCCAGGUUGCGGAGAGAGGAGACAGUGGCUGCAGUGACGAGAGAUUGGGCCUCUGAGCAGGGAGACACAUUUACUCUCAUCUCCCUUCUGCCAAACUCCCCAAGGGUAAGGAGGGCUUGUGUGUGCUCAGGGUGAGGGCCCUGAGGCCCCUUGGCUGGGGUAGAGCACAGGGGGGGUGUAAAGACCUCAGGGAAGAGAGGGUUGUAUCCUGGCCCCAGAGCAGAGGGCCAGAGAGUUCCGGGGGCCUCGGAGAGGCACAGGGCCAGCAGGGGAAAUCCGUGGGCUUGCAGUCACCUUUCAGGGAGUGCACGGAGGUGUCUCAGCGACAAAGAGGCAUGGAAAGAUUCUGUCCUAGAGCCUCAGGAAGGAGUCUGGCCCAGCUGACACCUCAGUUUCAGACCUGCGGCCUCCACAACUGUGUCAGGAUAAACAUCUGUCAUUUUAAGCCCCCCAGUUUGUAGCGCUUUGCUUUGGCAGCCCCAGCCAGGAUGCAUCCCCAGCGAGGAUGAAGGAGAGGCAGUUAGCAUGGUCCCCCCUGCCGAGCAGGGAAGGGGAGAGGUGCUGUAGAUGCUGGGCACAGAAACUACCGCUGAGUGCUGGUGGGCCCGCCGGGGCCGGGACAUGUAGAGUGGGAGCCCGGACUGCGGGAGAUGACAUUUCCAACAUCAGGAAAAAUGAGGCUUGCGACAGAAACUGGGUAAGGUAAAAGUAACCAUUACUAUUAAACUUUCCUUACUGCUUGGCUUUGUGUGCUAAAAUUGGCUGCUCAAGUCACUGAGUCCCAAGGCCACAGAGGGGUCAGUUGUGGCCAUGGGGUUGAAGCCACCCUGCCUGCCUAAGCCUUCCUGUCAUUCAUUAGCAUUCGUUUUCCCUGGCUCACAUUAUGGCCAAACUGGACCGAGCCCCGUGCUCCAAGCACAGCCCUGUACUUCCUACCCGGGCCCUUGGAUCACUCUGUGCCUUUGCUGUUUCCCGUCUAAGUCGUACCUGUUAUUUCAGGCCCAGUGCAGGAAGGCUUUCCUAGUCUCCCAAACACGUCCUCAUCUCCUUUUCAACUCUGGCAUUUGUUUUGAAGUAUUCUUUUUAAAGUUAAUUUACUUAUUUUGAGAGAGAGAGAAAGAGCGUGAGUGGGGAAGGAGCAGAGAAGGAGAGAGAGAGAGAUAGAGAGAGAACCCCAAGCAGUCUCCAUGCUGUCAGUGCAGAGCCCGACCCCAGGCUCAAACCCACAAACUGUGAGAUCACGACCUGAGUGGAGAUCAAGAGUUGGAUGCUUUACCGACUAAGCCACCCAGGCGCCGCUGUUUUGUUCUUUCUGAUGUGUCUCAUACUCAUUGUGUCUCAUACUUCAUUGUAUCCCCGUAACACCAGCAUAAUCAGCCCCUGCCGUGGCAGGUCUCAGCGCAGGGUCGCUGGUUUGUUUGGUACAAUCAUUGCUAAAAAUGCUACUGUAUCCCACAAUGCACUAUGGGCAGUACAUCUUGGUUUGUGACUGAGGCGCCCUUUAUGAGUUGGGGCAUUGUCUCUUGCCUGGGCUGCACUGGUCCAACGGACAGAGGGCUCUGUCAUCAGGACCGUUAGUGCUUACUUAUGGGUGUGACUGAAACAAUUUUCCAAAAAGGUGAAGGAAGAAUAAGCACUGGGGCCACUCUGUCCGAGGAACUGGUCUACCUGCAUUGGGGUGGCUCUUGUAGCCACUCCAAUAAAGCAGAGUGGGAUCUGCAAGUCCCUUGGGUGGCCUGAUUUUUAUCACCACGUGACUGCCUUUCCCUCUUCUCGUAUCUCCCCCUGCAGCCAAAAACACCUGCGUUCUGGAAUCAGAGAUAAGACAUGUGAGGCAAGUUUUCUGGGAGGGAAAAGGAGUGAUUUAAAUUCUCACUGAUGUCUAAGCUGCUGAUAGAUUCUGUCCCCCAAACAGGUUUCAACUUAGAGGAGGAGGCUGGACAGGGAGAGAGCAGGAGGGCGCUGAGCUGGCCCAUUGACCACAAAGGAAAGAGCAAUGGGUGGCAGGAAAGAAGGCCUGGGGGACCCAAAGGUGCAGUUUAUCUGCUGCUCCCCUAUUUUUGUCAUGGGCCCCAUCUGAUUCUGACAUUCAACACUAAGGGAUCUCCUAAUCGUUGAUUGCACAAACCUAAACAGUCAUUUACUGCAAGCAUUCUGGAACACCAGAAGGUUGCUGUUAUUUAUUUGGUUAAAUAAGAAUGUAAAACAUAAGCAAAUAGAACAAAAAUCCUACCACAUAAAAGAAAGGAGGUUUUAAUGGUAAAAAAUUGGGAAAGAAAAUCUCAGAUAAAGGACAGCAUUUUAAGUGGAUGAAUAUAGAUUUAUAGGAAAAAAUGUCUAUUUCCUUUUUCUGUGGGCCCAAGAAAAUGCUGGCAGAGCCUGGGCUCUCCCCUACCACCUGGUUUAUGGGAAUCACAUCCACCCAGAUUUCUGAACUCCCACCAGUUUCUAGUUCAUGACCCUGUACUGCCCCCUGGUGGCCAAAAGGAGUUGCUGUAGCGGCUAAAGAGGGUCUCAAAAUAUUGGGCCUCCUAGCAUCUAUGUUUAUUUAAUACCCACCAUGUGCUAAGGGUGAGGACACAUAGAAAUGAGGGAUCCCUUGCUAUCAAGGAGCUUUCCUAUAACACUGACGUGUCAAACAAAAGUUAGCAAACAUGUUUCGGUUUUGGCUUUGCAAUCAACUCGCAACCACCAUUCCCCUGCCUGUCAGAGGCCCAGGCGGGCCACUGACAUCAGCAUCAUGGAAUGCAAGUAGUCUCUCAGCGUUAGAACAGGCCUGUGACUUGGGUCCAGGUGCCACCUAGAGCUUUAUCUCCAGCCUUGCCCUGAGCCGGGGCUUGUGGGGACUGAUGAAGCUGGUAGGUGGUGGCGUAGAGCAGACCUGUCCCUACCGAUUCCCCACAGGGUGUUUCUGCUCUCAGCUCUUCCUACUUACUUGGCCACCCCUAGGUCAGGCAGGCCUGCUUUUGCAUGAAGUCCUUCCAUGCCUACCCUAAAUCCACAAUGACCUCUAUGACCUCAAGACUACUGUCUACCAUCAUUUCCUCUUUAUUUUUCAAGUAGGUAAGAAAUUCCCUGAUGGUUGAGGCUCUGUUUUAACAGUUUUCUAUCCAUCUCCCCUUCUCAUAUUACCUCCAGAAGCUCUCAGUUUCUCUCUUAUUAUGCAGAGAAGCUGCCUACUCCUUUCACAUAUUAGGGCUAUGCUUAGGCCUCAUCAAAAUAUUUUCUUAUCAAAAAUGGGAAGUAGUUAAGUCAGUUUAGGCUAAGUUAUUUGGCUGUAACAAACAAGCUGCAAGUCCACAUGGCCUAGAAUAACAAAGGUUUAAUUCUUCCUAAUGCUACAUGGCCCAUGGGGAUCGCUUUGGGUGUGGGGUUGCCAGAAUUCGGAAGGAAAAAUACAAGACACCCUCAAAUACUCAAUAAUUUUAUUUUUAGCAUACAUAUGCCCCCCAAAAUGCAUACUAAAAUUAUUAUUAUUAUUAUUUUCUGAACUUCAAAUUUAAUUGGAAAUCCUAUAAUUUAUCUGGCAUCUCUACUUUACAACCUCAUUCUGGACCCAGAUUAAUGGUGCCUCUACUAUCUAAACAUCACAGAAAGAAAGGGGACGUGGCCAUUUACACACUGGCUCUCAAAGUUUUCUUUUGGAAUAUACAAACAUUUCCAAUGACAUUAUUAUUAUUUAUUAUUAUUAUUAUUAUUGGUCAAAGUGAGUCAUUUUGUCUUUCCUAACCUCAAAGGGGUGAGAAAGUGCAAUCCUGUUAUGUGCACAGAAUGAGAGAACUCCAGGCUAUUUGUGAAAAGUUCAAAUCCCUGCCCUAGUUACAUAUUCUGGUAAGAGCUACUAAGAAAAUACUACAUUCUCCGUCUCAUUACGAUAAAUUAUAUCAACUGUAAUAUUUAUCCUUGUGAUUUCUAUCUAAUGGCUUCCUAUUGAUUUCUAGUAAGCAGAGAAAGCUUUUCUUACCCAUUUAAAUAUGGGGAGAUAACUAAAUGCUCCCUGUCAACUUUUCUUCUCUGCAUUAAACACCUUCCCAUGCACCCCCUCCCCUACUUUCUUCCUAUGAUGUAACUUCCAGCCCUUUACCAUCUGGUCACUAUCUACUUGGUUAUAUCUGACUGUUAUGUGAAUGUGAUGGGAAAAAAAAUAGAAAAGGAGGUUUCUUUUAGGGAUAAGUCAAAGAUGACUGUUUGUGUAACCCUUUAUUUUUGUUCACUGGCACCACCUACAAAAGAUCAGCAGUUUUUCAACUCUCGGUAACAACAGAAUCACCUGCAGAAACAAAGUGGUGAGGUCCAGGCUUCUCCACCAGCAACUCUGAUUCAACUGGCCUUGCCUGGGCCUGGGCAUCUGUACUUUUUUGCAGUUUUGUUAUCUAUAGCUACAUAACAAACCAACCCCAAACUGAGGAGCUUAAAGCAAAAAUAGUAAUUUUACUAUUAUCUUUCCUGGUCCUGGAGGCCGACUAGAAUCAAAUAUAUAAGAAACAAAUGAACAUUUUAAGAGAAUUUUAUGGGCAAACAAAAGCCACCAGCUUGGAGUAAAAGAGACUGCACCCAUUUGGUAUUUAAAGCAAACUUUGGCUCCCCCAAUAUUUUAUAGGUAGGGGGAGGCUGAGGGCUCUGCUUAGCACCCAAGGAGACCAUAUUCCUUUUUAGAUUAGGCAAAGGAAGAUUGUGAAAAAGUGGACCUCUCAGUGGGCAGAACCAAGGACCACGGAGAAGAGUAGACUGGGGAGUUUCUGUUGGGGAAAAGAAUCGGGGUGCUAAAUGUGCCCCACCCUUAGGACAAGGGGCUGCUCACCAUACCUGCCCAGUGGGACUUUAGACUUACUGGGGGGGGGAGGGUCAGUGACUAGUAAAUGACUUCCCAUGCAUCCACUUCCCAAUGGGAGUGUUUAUUGUGUCCCUGUCUCUAACUGCAUAUUGAGUUUGUGUGUGGGAGCAAGUGACUUAAUUUUUCAGGUGUCCCCCAUCUAAAGGAGGCAGGCACAUCCAAACCUUCUAUAGCGGUGCUUGUGCCUUAUGCACCAGUCCUGGACUUUGAGCUCAGAGCAGCACCUGCAGAGGAAUUGGGGGUUGUCUCCCUUGGGGAGGGAUAAGUGUCCUCUUAGAUGGGCAGGGGAAGGAAAUGCGUGUUUUGUGUGCAGAGUACAGACUAUGGUGGAUUAUGUUAAUAUUUACCAAAUAUUGUGGCACCUUUCUCUGCAGGGCCUCUCCCUGCGGUGGGAGGGCUCUACAUCCUGGUCCUUUUGUGUUCAGUGUUACAUUUGACUUGCUUUGACCAAUGACAUGUGAGUGUCAGAGGUGACAGGAGCCACUUUUGAGCAGAAGGGUUAAGAAUCAUGGUGUUCACCUUUCCCUCUGCUAUGACACCUGGCAAUGUUCCAGAUAGAAGCUGCUUUCCCAUUCGCUGUGCUAGAAUAAAGAUGGCACAGAACAAAGCCACAGCCAGCUCAUAAUGAAUGCAGCAUAUGAAAAAUUAAACUUAUGUUGUAAGACCCUGGAUGAUAAUAUUAAUGGAGAGGGCUUGGGCACCCUGACAGCCCUGAGGAGCCUUGGGUCCCUCUUGCAUGAUGGCUACCAGCAGCAAAGGGACAUAGCCUUUCAACUGCCCAAUUUUCUUGUCCUCUCUGAGGAACUCAUUCCCUUCACAUUGAUGCCUGCCAUCAACAGUAGGUGAUAGAGAGCCUCCUGGAGAGUGCCAGUCUCCAGAGAGCCUCCUGUUGACAGUUUUCAUCUCUGUAGAGCAGAGAAUGUGGGAAGAUCUUUGGUAUUCUAGGUUCUGGGCUAAUGAAAGCUUGCUGGACAUAGUCAAGUAUUUCAAGAUGGUGGCCAUUCAGAGGGUCCUUUGGUCCUUACUUGCUGGGGUUUUCUGUUGCCCUGGUGACAUCUCAGUCUUGGCUUUCUCAUUACACGAUGAAGACAUUGGUGGUGACAAUGGAAAGGAUGAGAAGAUGAAAGAGGUCAUACCAUACCUGGUUCUAUGCAGCAGAACUGAGGCUCAAGUAUUGAGGUAAAUUCAAGGUACUUGUCUCCUGAAAUCUGGACCAGCCUUAGUCAUCCAAUAGAACCAGCAGACCAAUAGAAUGUGGCCAAAACAACAGUGCCUGCCUUUCAAAGCUAUGUCAGAAGAAGACUUGCAGCUCCUGCCUUGGUCUCUUAGAAAACUCCCUCAAGACUCCAACUUACUGUGUAAGAAUUUUGGUUACCCUGAGACCACCAUGCUGUCAUAGUUGCAUUCAAGUGCUCCAGUUGAUAGUCCAGUUGAGCUGAGCCUUCCAGCCAUUCUUGCCACGGCCCCAAAAAUAUGAAUGAAACUGUCUUAGACUCUCAGUCCAGUCUCCUCACCAUCCAAAUAUCACAGAUUGACUUCAGUUAAUGCCAUGUGGAACUGAAAGGUCCUCCAGCUAAAUUUGGCCUGAAUUCCAGACCCACAAAGUCAUGAGAUAUAAUAAAAUGGUGUUAUCUUAAGACAUGAAAAUAAUGGAACAUGUACAUAUGCACUUAAUACUCAGUCCUGGGUGCCUGGUUUUCCUUUUCUCUGAACAUGGCUCCUUCUUAUUGCAUGCCUGGCUGCUCUAGCCAGAUUUCAUGAGUUGGGAGGUAUUAGCCUGGGAUCUCCACCUUCAACAAGGAUGGUCCAGAUAAACUCUUCAUUCAAAUAGGGUUUGGGAUAUGCUGAGGGUCCAAUUUUGUUCUCAGCUCAAGUCCAGCAAGUAAUCAAUUUAGUGCUUAGUGAGGACCUCCAUAGGGAAAGAACUAUGCUGGAUGGUUAGGUAAGAGGUCUUGCUACAUAAGGUAAAACAGCUCACUACGGUUUAACACUCACAUGCUUAAUUAAUUGUGUUUCUUACAGUUAACAUUGUGAGGUAGGCAUUAUUUUAUAACAUAAACAAGUGAAUUGAGGUCAGGACGUACAACAGUAAGCUCCAGAAAUGAGUUUUGGACACCUAGCAGGCUUAUCCACCAACCAGGCUACCUUGGAUGUUAAAGCCUUAAGAGACAGAUGCAAACCUUCAUUUUACAAAUGAGAAGCUUGAGGACCAGGAAGAUGGAGUAGUGUUGCAGCUGUGUUCUAUCACUAACGGGGAAUUCUCUAGCCAAUACAACUCCAUCCUGGCCCUAAAGGGUCUCUAGAGUAUAGGCCAAAACCAUGUUGAGUAAGUGUCUUUAGAACUGUUGCUUUAGGGAGGGAGGUAGAGGAGAUGAUGUCUGUACUGCCCUGUCUUAUAUAUUCCCAGAGAAUGCAAGCCUCUGGUUAGCCUCCUGUUUAGCUCCUGGCUGAGAUGUGGGGGCUUUAAGGUGCCUGAUGAACAGUUUGCAGGCCCAAAGCAUUGGAUUCGUAGUAUGAGCUUUUCUCUGGAGAAAGCAUCCCCACAUGAAACUAUCCAUCCCUGUGGUUUGGGAUAAGUCACAGAGAUAGUUACAUUUUUGCUUUAGAGCAUGGAAAAACCAAGAAAUAAUAAGUCAGUGGGGCUGUUUGUGAAUUGGAAGUUACUCAAAGACCAUUCCUGGCUUGUCCUGGAUCUCUUGGUUUGCUGGGAUGGCAAGAUCCAAGCCAGUAUCCAUCAGCCACAGUGGGAACUGUGAAGAGGCUAUGGGGCACUCGAAAUUUUUACAAAGAGAACAGGGACCCAGAGUAACUUGGAUAAGGAGAAGUCCACAAAUGGGGUGCAUAACUCUAAGUUGAAGUCUCUCUGGAGAUUAAGUAUUUAUGAAGGACUUUGUACCCACAAAGUGAAUUUCAAUAAUUUAUUAUCUAAAUUCACAAUAUCACAAUAACAUGUAAGUAUUUGUAUUAUGGCUAAUGACCCUAACUUGAACUAUUGCCUGUAAGACAGGGAAUAUUUUCAUGCACUUGGGACCUGUUUUUAAUGCCAUUGUGAAGCAAGAUCAGGAAUUUUUGAACUCAUACCUGAGUCUUGAUCCAGACCUGUCAUUACCAUGCAAGCCUAUAAUUCUCACCCAUGGCACUUCUGUGCUGGCUCCCCUGUUGUCAGUCAGCAGCGAAAGGUGAAUUUUUUCAUAUGAAUCCCUGACAACUCUUUCCUCUUUAUUCCACAGCGCUGUGAUUUGCCUUUGUGCAGCCCUUUGUGUUGUGAGAUGACCAGAUGACAUAUUCGUAUGUUGAUGAUUUUGAAUGUGUGCAUGGCUGAGAAGAUCAUACAAAUUAAUUUUCAUGCAGAAGUCAAGGGACAAGAUAGACCAGGCACUGGCCUACAAAUGUGGACACUAACAGCUCCUGAUAGAACCAGGGUGGAAACUGAGGUGGCAAGAAAGGAUGGUGGUGUCCGUAGGCUUCUGGAAGGUAUGUUCUCAGCUGCUGAUGCAAACACUGGGGUGUCAAUGUGUCCAUCAGGAGACACCUGGUACAGUGGGAAGAACAAAGAACCUGGAGACUAAAGCACCCAGACUUACAUCCCAGCUGAAGGUGUGUGGCUACAUUAUUCCAUGUCUCUGAACUUCGCUUUCCUCCAGGGAUGUCUUACAGAUUUAAAGAGCUGAAUGCAUCUUCAGGGACACAGUGCCCUCAGUGACACCCUCUGUCUCCUGUACUUCAUCAGGACCCCAGUGACCUGAAAAGCCAGGCUCUAAGCUAUCCAAGGAAUCAAAGAAUUCCUGUGUGAUUGCAGGAGGAAAAAGAAUUUGAAACACAUUCUCUCCUAAUCCCUCUUCAUCUGAGCUAAUUUCCAAAUGGAAAAAGUAAUCAAUUGAAGUUAUAUAUGUAGCUUAUUCAAAGAGCUGAAUGAGUGGCUGGAAACAAUUCCCCAAACCAUGGUUUCCACUGAAUAAUUGAAAUUAUGCUGGGGCAUGGAAAUUUUUCAGCAAAUAAAAUAUGCCUGAAAAUCUAUUAAAGAUAUGUCUGCAAAAAUCAUUUGCAAAAGCCCAACUCAGCAAUAAAAAAUAAAUUACAUUUCUGUUCUUGCUGUUGUUCCCUUUGGGAAAGAGCAUAUUACUACUACUUUGUGGACAAAUGGAACCAGUGAAUUUUGGAAUGAAGAACUCUACAAGUUCUAACCGUGAGGUUUAGACAUUAGGUGAUAAUUCUACACUGAAAAGUAAAUAGGGAAAAAUUUCCCUGAUUUAAUGUUGCUCAGGUAAUAUAUAUGCUGUUUUGUCUUAUCCGUGGGGGUUUUUGGAAUUAGAGUUUUCCAUCUGUGACUUUGAGUGACAGACAACUUUACUCAGAGAUUUGGGAGCUCAUUUGGGUUAUUUGGACAAGACCUAUGGGGUUCAAAGAGCUCACUAGAAUCCUUAUUUCUAUUUUCAUCUUAUCCUGAGCACAGGGCUCAGAAGAGAAAGUCCCUUCAAAGGGUAAGUUAGAAAGUUGACCAAGGGAAUGUAAUUUUUGAACUAUAAAUUGAAAGACCUUCUGAGUAAUUUUUUUCCAGCAUGAGGCAGCUCUGCCAGUUGGCUUCAAAAACUGUUUGGGUUUGUGUUUCCAUAACCCUCCUAUACUCUCUAUAUUGGUUCAGAGAGCUUGCUGGACACCUCUUUAAAUUAAGACUACGUAGCUUAAAGCCACAAUCCUUUUGCCUGUUUCUUCUUUCUUAUAUCAUUAUUUUUUGUCACAGCUCAGGGUACUGGCCUGGGGUUUGCUAACUGCCUUGGGCAGGGCGGAAUCUGUGAUUUCCUCUCUUGAGAUGGGCGUUGGCACUCAGGGAUUUCACAUUUAUGCUAGGCUGGGCCAAGCAGAUUCAUUCCAGGGGAAAUUUGGAAUGGGAAAGAGACACAACUUCUCACAGAGUCCAGACCUCCUCCUAACUAUCAUAGCUAUGAUUCCAUUACUUAAAAGAAGCCAUUGCCUUUGGCCCCAAAUUAAGAAAAAAAAAAAAUCAGCUACCCAUUAUCAAUUAGCUGCUGCAAUAGAGGAAGGUCAUGGAGGGGCUGAGGGGAGUUGUUGAAACAAAGAUAGGAUGAUGUGACAUCACACACUGCUUCUUCCAAGCACAGAGUGAACUUGAACAAUGGUACCAACCUUUGUCCUGUGAGCAAAUCAAAUGUGUUUGGGAACAGUGGCGGGGUGGGAAGGGAGGUGAUGAACAGUUGUUCAUUCCUUUCAUGGUGAAAGCAACUUUAGCAGAGGUUAGAAAGAGAGUGCGUUAAAAAGAGAAAUUUCUGUAAGAUACUGGAUGAAGAACUUUGUGUUUUAACUAAUUUAAUCUUCAAAACAACCCAUCGAGGAAGCUACUUUUAUCUUCUUCAUUUUACAGACAAGGUAAAAGGUGCUUAAAGUUAAGCAAUUUGCCUAGGCUCAUGGGUAGCAAACAAUGUCAAGGCCAUUGCUCUUUACCUCUGCACACUGCUUUGAGGGUGGCCCAAUUGGCUUCUGCAGAAGCUUAAGGUGUGUAGAAUUGAGUUUCUGUUUCAUGGUGGCCUGACAUCUGCUCUCUCACCCAUGUGUGCACACCUGCUCCCUCGAUUUCUUUCCCCACCCCCUCCUCCCUGCCUCUUUCCCAGUGGGCCCUCUGCAAGCAAUGGCUAAGAGUGUUGGUCUGAAGGGGACAGUUGCCUCAGUAGCCUCUGGUCUAUUUGUAGUGGGGUGCUGGCUGGCUGCAUGCAACUGAGCCUGGCAGUCGCAAGCCUUGGCAUUGUCUGUUGGCCUCACUGGUUUCUCCCACCUCGGAAGCAACCUGAAUAUGAUUUGAAAGGCAUCUGACAAUUCCAGUGUGUAUUGUUUAGUUUUCUGAUGUAGCUGGAGGGGAUGGCAGUAGAAGCCCAGGUCAAAAAUAAUACAGGAAGGAUGAGAGAACCCAAUAGGGAGAAUAAAGGAACACCUGCUGAUGCCUGCUGCCAUAAAAUCAGGUUACCCCGGUGGUGGCCUGCUGACUGGAAGGCUAGGUGUGAUUGAGAUGGUUUCUGGAGCCCAGGGAAGCAUUCCUUAUGUGCCCCCAUUCUUUUUUUUAAAGUUUAUUAUUUUAAAAAUAUUUUAAUCUUAUUUAUUUAUUUUGAGAGAGAGAGAGAGAGAGAGAGAGAGAGAGAGAGAGAGAGAAUAUCCCAAGCGGGCUUUUCACUGUCAGCACAGAGCCUGAUGUGGGGCUUGAACGCAGGAACUGUGAGAUCGUGACCUGAGCCAAAUCCAAGAAUUGUAUGCUUAACCCAGGCACCCCCACCUGCCCCAUUCUUAUCUUGUGUUCUGAAAUUCCAUAAUUAGACAUUAACUUUAAAGCUCCUUGUCUUAUUUUAAAAAUCAAUGGUGCAUUAUCUAGUAAAAAGAGAAUAGGGAGAAAAAUAUUGUGCUGGUAGAAAGAUCCAGAUUCUCAAAAUCAGAAAAUCUGUAAGAAAUUUACUUUAAUUAUACCAUACAUAUAAACAUUUCAAAAACUAAAUUUUGUUUUGAAUGACCUGUGGGGGUGACUGUAUAAUGUCAAGAGCUUUUUAUUGCCUAGUGCUUUUUUUAGUACAUUAGGUCUUAAUUUGAGCCUAGUUAAAAUAUAAAUACUCUUGGGAAACUAUCACUUUGUAUUAGUUUUCGAUUUUGUUGUAACAAACUACUACACAUUUAACAACUUAAAACAACAGCUAUGUAUUAGCUUCAUAAUUACGACUUGUCACUUCAUUUCUGGGCCUCAAGCUUCCAGUCUGUAACAUGCUGCGUGUGAAAUGGUUGUGUUUUUAACAGUGUUAUUAGUUUAGACUUUCUGAAACUUGGUUCCAAAGUCAUACAAUGUUCUCUAGUUGUACAGAUGCUUGGCAUCCCUUAUAAGGAGUGAUGAAAGAACUGAGGAUGGCUCAUUAAAAUGGAACCCUAUUGAAUGUGCCCUGCCAACACAGCCCUGCAGGUCGCCAUAGUAUCUGAAGGGUAGCUUUGAAAAAGUAAUUGAUGUCAGAGGAUGGUCAGGAUGAGGGUGGCCAGACUAGUGUUUCACAAGGUAGUUCAUUCGAGCUCUCUUAGUCCCAAGCAUCUGGAUAAAACUCCCUGCCAUGCUUGAGGCUUUCAGAAAUCAAAGUAAAAAGCAAACAAUAGUAAGUCUUCUUAAUAUUUAGGAGCAGAACAUGUGUGGAAGAUACUAUUGCUGCCAACCAAUAUUUCCUGCUUUCCUACCUUUAGACAACCAGUAUGAUUUUACUUACCCAGCCUCUGAAGACGGAUGUUCCAAGUGAUCUUUUUGGUCAAUGAAAUGUGAGUGGGAGAGGUAUGGGUCACUUCUGGGGGGGGGAAUGGUUAAGAACUGGUUUGUGACCGUAACGAAUGUUGCUGCAUAUUGCUUAUUUACAAGUUGCUAAGGAAGUAAACCUUAAAGGUUCUCAUCAUAAGAAAAAACAAUGUGUAACUACACAUGGUGAUGGAUGUUAACUAGAAUUACUGCGAUGAUCAUAUCCCGAUAUACAAGUAUCAAGUCAUUCUCUUGUACCCCUAAAAUUAAUAUAAAGUUAAAUGUCAAUUAAAUCUCAAUUUAGACAAAAGGAAAAAGAGGAAAAUAAUCCUUGUACUCUAAAGAAGCAAACUAAGAAUACCAGAAAAUUAAAAAAAAAACAACAACAACAACGACUGGUGUGGUUGUCCAUGUUUUCUCUUCCUCUUCUACAGUGACCAUACAGGUUGGGAUGGUAGGUGAUAUAACACCCAAGACAGCUACCUGGAAGGUGUCAGAACUUGCAUAUACUGAGAAGUAAACUAUUGUUUUUUAAGCUUUUAAGAUUUGGGGGUUGUUAGUUAUUGUAGUGCAAUCUAGCAUAACUUGACUUCUACAGAAAGAAACAGGCCCUAAAAUUUGGUCAAUGGUAGAGAUUGUGGUUUAGAGAUAAAUAUCACUUUCCAGACAGAGGACAGAAAAAAGCCCUCAUAAUCCAGCUUCCUGGAUGAACCAUUUUGAUUUUUCUUUUUAUGCUCCCUCCCAGGCUUGAGGGAGUUGGUGAAGUGUUAAAAAGCAGUUAGCAGGGAUCUCAAAGAGAUGAAGAAUUAGUCUGGAUUCACAGAUCGAACUGCCAACCGCUGGCCGACUGAGAGCUGGUUGGAUUUCCAAGCUUGGGUUUCUAAGGAAAUACCUUUAACGAUAUUGUCUGAAGUCUUCUAGUUUACUUGUUUCAGCUCUGAUAGGCUGUAUGCAAGAAAAAGCACUAGAACUGUCUUUCAACUAAAUAACUUGGGAUCUUUUGAACUCUUGUUAUCUUUGGGCUGAUGUGUUUUGACCAUCUUCUCAAAAAAACUCUCCCUGCUGCUUCUGAUUCAGAUUUAUUUCCUGGAAUGGUCUUCUGAGCUCACCCUUUGCUCCCUGUCUUUCUUUUCUUUUUCCAGAAGAGAAUCUAUUACAAGCCAAACAUCAAUCCCCGAAUCUAAAAUUUAGGACUGCACUUUAUGGAAAUUGAGCCUGUAUUGUUCUUCUCAACACCAGCCAAGAAUCUCCACACUGCAGAACAACCCAGGGGCUGAUCUGGCUUGCAAGAAUUCUUCCUCCUUAGAUGCCUGAAUAGACCCUACUGUUAUCCCUAUUUUGUAGGUGAAGAUAAUGAGUCAUGGUGACGUUAAUUACCUUGCCCAGGGUCACCCAGUUGGUUCUCCUUCUCCAGAGUUUGGCAAAAUCAGACAUGAGCCUAUAGAGACAUGUUGAAUGGCAAGCACAAGGGCCAGAGGAGGAUCUGGAUUGCCCUCUGCAGGCAGAUGGCCUCUCAGGCAGUGACCUUAUUGCCUUGUUAAGGCUCAUUACUUGACUACCAAGUUCGGUUCUCACAUUUCUUCAAGUUCUGCAACUUCCUUGCGCUUCAUGGAGAGAAGUCAUGUAUCUAGUGGGUUGGCAGCCUUGGCAUUCAAAGGGGAGAAGCUUCGAUGUUCCCGCCAGCAUGGGCACAGUCCACAAAACACAGCCGUUUCUUCACCAGUUAUGGCUGAGACUUGGAAGGUAAAAUGUCACUUUUAUUGUUUGACUAUUUCUAUCAUUUGAGGAAUAGUAGAAAGUGUCGAGGUUGUAGAAGACAGACAGGCCUGAGUUUAAUAUUCAGCUCUGCUAUCUCCUAACCAUGUGAUUGUGGGUACAUUUCUUAAGCCUCCAUAAAUGUCAGAUUUUCCCCUUUCAGCUGAAAAGGUGGAUAAUGUUUAUAACAUAGUCCUUUUGUGAAGAUUAAAUGAAAUAAUGAACAUAAAGCUGUUAGCACAUAAAUAUUCAGCCCUUGUCUGCCUCUACUGUAAGGGCUCACAAUGUCUUUGAAGAUGUUAGCAAGAGCUAAUGAUUCUCACAUACUUUUUAUGGCAUUUUUUUUUUCUGAUUAUGAACAUUAUAAACGUAAGCUUAUGCAGAGACUUUGAAAAAAAAACCCAGAAAAUAUUAUAAACAGAACUCUUACUAUCAAUCUCACCCUCUAGAGAUAAUUGCUAUUUAGCAUUUUGGUAUUUUUCCCAUUGUUUUUACAAACAAUGAUGGUGUGGAUGUUCAUUUUGCAUGGAAAGCUGUAACCUGCUUUUGUCACUUAACAUUACACGGAUACUUAUCUUCUCGAGAAAGGGAUUUCCUCUAUCAGCAGCUGUGGGUGUCUAGUCUUGGUGGGAUUUGGUAUGAGGAAGAUUAGACAGGAGGCAUGUUGGCCCUUUAAAAGGAAACAUUUUAAGGGAGUGAAGUGUAGUGCUUUGGUUUAGCAAUCCUAUAAUGUAAUUAUGCUUGUGUUUCAAGAUGGCAUGUUUGGGGUAUGAGAGGUUUAGAAUACAGUUUGCUUGGACGUGGCUGGACCUCAUGCUGAGGAGGCCAAAGACAACACCCUCUGUUGGAGCUGAGAAAUCACCUUCAUCAAAAUGCCUCCUGUCUGUAUCUCCUCCGAUACUUUGGAGAGGACGUAUCAUUUGAGUAACUGCACUGCUAUAACAUGCACGUACCAGAGCGUUCCUUUGCAUCAAGCCUCAACCCAGGCCUCUGCAGGAACAGGACAAGGACCCAGCAUGUGACUGGGAAUGUAUGCUUAUAGAGACAAUGUCCAGGGGCCCCAAGACAGUUACUAGAAAAAGCUAUUUAGUGACCAGUUUCCCCUGAGGAAUCUAUAAUGAGGCUCAAUGGGCUCUCUGUGGAUCUUCUAAAAUUCUUUGUACAUAUAUUUUUCUAGGAAAAUAAGAUUUAUAGGGGAGUCUGUGCCCUGCUCCCAAUUAUUAAGAACUAUUCAUUUCAGAGAAGGGGCAGAGUGCAUAUUCUGCAGACAGUCUCCUGGGAAAAAUGAUUAUUUUUAUCAUUGAGCCUUAGAUAAGGACCAGAGAACAGAGAACCUGGUUAUGUUCUCUGGCAAGAAUCUGCAAUGCAAAUAUUCAAUAUUGCCAAAUAAGGGAAGAUUCAUGUGUUUUUUUAAUCUAUAAUUAUGUCUUCCUUCCUUCCUUCCUUCCUUCCUUCCUUCCUUCCUUCCUUCCUUCCUUCUAUUUAUCUAUCAUCUAUCUCUUUAUAUCUAUUAUCUGUUGAGAGACUGGUUUUACUUUAGACAGACCUGUAAGUAAUUUAUCUUCUUAUUACUUUCUUCAUUGCCUACAUAAAGCUCAGAUAGCCUUUUACCUCCUAAGGUUAUUGUAAGGAUUAAAUGAGGUAUCAUUUGAUGUAAAGUGCUUAGCAUAAUGCUUAAUAUAUAGUAAGUUCUCAUUAAAUAUUUGUAAUUAUAAUUAUACUAAUUGCUAAAUCUAGAUAUAUUAUAGCUCUUAGGCCAUUAUAUGCUCAGAGGAAGUUCCUAUACUGUCUAUCUCUGCCCUGUCUUCCUUGGCACUAUGCCAUAUGUUGGAAUAUUGAGUGUUAAUGAUUUUGGUCUUUAUCUAUAUUUCAUUUCUUUAAAAAUGUGCUCUUUCCUAGGGUUAAUUUGUUAAUUGAUUGUUUUUAUAUUAAUUACUGAUAACAUUGAGUUAAAAUCUGCCUUUCAGGGAAACUUGUUGGCUAGUUUCGUUGGAGUAACUCUCAGGUUGGGCUGGGUUAUGCUUCAUUAACAGAUGACUUCAAAAUCUUAGUGACUUGAGGGGUGCCUGGGUGGCUCAGUUGGUUAAACAUACAGCUUCAGCCAGGUCAUGAUCUUAUGGUUCUUGAGUUUGAGCCCUGCAUUGGGCUCUGUGCUGACAUUGUGGAGCCUGGAGCUUGCUUCUGAUUCUGUGUCUUCUUCCCUCUCUGCCCCUCCCCCACUUGUGUUCUGUUUCUGUCUCUCUCAAAAAUAAAUAAACAUGAAACAAAAAUUAAAAAAAAUCUUAGUGACUUGAUACAAGAGAGGUUUGUUUUAUGCUCAUGCCACAUGUCUCUCAUGAAGUGCUUGUGGGCCCUGGUUAUGUAUCCUCACCUUGGUUUGUAGAGCAGCCACCAUCUUGAAUGGUGCAAGUCACUGUAUUGUUGGAGAGAAAGCACUCUGGAAGCAUUCCCACUGGCAUUUACAUCCUCCCAGCCUGCUGCUACACAUGAGACUUUCGAUUGCCACUCAUUUGCCAGAACCAGUCACUUGGCCACACCGAACCACAAGGCGGGAGUAAGAAAUACAAUCCUACUCUGUUUCUUAAAGACUGGAAAACCAGAAAUAUCUCAUGAAUUUAUCCAUGACUAAAAAAAUUGGUAAUGAUGAGAUUUUAAGUCAUGUAUGGUAAUCAGUUUUGAAUAUUCAGGCCAUUUGUUCUCCCUCAAGUCACGCUACAUGAAUAACCAGCUAGCACAACUUCCAUGUAGAAAAUGUAAAUGCUUUGGAGACUUGUGGUGAUAUCCUGAGAUGCUGGAGAAGAAGAAGAAGGAAUUGGUUUUCUCCUUUGUUUUUCUUAAUCACCUUCAAUUUGGGUUGGGUGUGUCAGGACUGGUGCUGAUAGGCUUAGGGAAAAGUGGUCUUUGGGGCAUAGUAUUCUCUGUGUAUGGUGUUUGAAAUGGCAUAAGGAAGAGCCUUUGCUGAUAGACAUGGAAAGGGGGAGGCAUGGAAAGCAUCAACCUGGGGCAAACUCUUUUGAAGGGGAGAUGUAGAGGAUUUCUUUUUCUUCAGGUGACCAAAAUAUAUCUUGUGUGGAGUAUGAGGAGGUAGCAAUAUACCAAGACAAUUUGGGUAAAUUUUAAUCUUACCCAUAUCCUCUGUGAGCUUAGAUUUUUCCAUUUUACAAGAUACUUCUUUUCAUCAAUUAUCUCUUGAAUUUCAUAGUUAUGAAUUUGGUAGAGAUUUUUUUUGUUUGUUUUAGGGAUGAUAAUAUUGAAGUACAUAAAGGAAGAAGGAAAAAAAAACCUUUAAAAUAUUUACUGAGUACCUGUUGUGUGUCAGGCACUCUGAGACACUUUCAUGUACUUUAUUUGAUUUUAAUCUCCCAAUAGCUCUGUAAGUCAUGUAUUUAUUAUAAUAUUAAUAAGAAAACUGAUGCUUAGAACAUUGAAACUGGUUGCAUUUGGGGAUGCCUGGGUAGCCGUUGGUUAAGUGUCCAACUUGUGAUUUCAGCUCAGGUCAUGAUCUCACAGUUUUGUGAGUUUGAGUCCCACGUUGGGCUCUGUGGUGAUAGUACAGAACCUGCUUUGGAUUCUAUCUGUGCCCCUCCCUCGCUCAUGCUCUUUUUCUUUCUUAAAAAUUAAUAAAUAAACUUAAAAAAAAGAAAUUAGUUGUAUUCAGACUGCAUGAGAACCAAGUUUCCUAAUUGCUAGCAUCUUCUUGGGCCAUGUGAUCUCUUUUCUUUGCUUCAUGUGGGUUUGUUGGGACUGAAGAUUUAAUCUUGAAUUAGUGUUGCCUCUAUUCAUAGUAUUUCUGCUUGACACAUUCAAUUUGACUAAAAUGAUUAAAAUAGCUUCCAUUUUGUUUGGUGAAAUUAUUACUAAAUCAUCAUAGAGAUGGCUCUACUGAGAUGGUUGAAGAGCUGACGUCUAACUAUGCCAGUGAGGUGUUAGGAUUUUCUAUGCCAGGGAAGCAAGAAAAAAAAAAAUCUUCAGUGCUGAUGAUACUGGUACCUGAUACUCCAACACUGUUACAUUCGUUGGUCUUCUUUUUCCCAUUUCAACUGGAUUCAAUAUAGAUGACUUUAAUAAUUUGUCAAAAAUUUCCAAGAUUCCUAGGUAUAGAUUAACAAGGAACAAUACUGGAUUCAGCACAACAGCAUCAGCAAUAACAUUUUUAAAGAUCAAGGUGACAAGAUUUGUUUACUCAAUUUAACAUAUACACAUAUAUACAUGCAUGGGUGUUAGGACUUUAUCUGGAAUUUAAUUUUCAUUUUUCAGUAGUCCAUUGGGAUUUUCUAAUUUGAUGUCUAUGUCUUUGAUCACUUGCUUGAAACCCCAAAGGCCCAAGACACAUAGUAAUUUGACAUUUCAUUGAAGCAUAAAUCUGAACCACAGAGUUGAUGAGAAAUAUAAUUUGUAGAAUAAAUUAUACACCUAGAAGUGAGGUCAGCCUGAAGCUUAGCAUUUGCGUCUCAACUUGGCUGUGUUUUUUACCAUGUGCCUCAGUAUAUAGAAAUAAAAAAGGAAAUUAUUUUCUGGAUAGCAAUUGAGAAUUGGUGAAUUAAAUCUAAUCCCAUUUCUUUUCAUAUUGUUCAGCAUGGGUAUAGAAAAAGUAGUUAGGACUUUUACUAUUAUUUAUGUUUUAAUUUAAGAGUUGGUAAAAUAUGGCCCAAUGGGCUGAAUCCAACCUACCACUUGUCUUUGUAAAUAAAGCUUUAUUAGAAUAUAGCCAUACCUAUUUGUUUACAUAUUGUCAAUGGAUGCAUUCAUGCUACAAUGGCAGAGUUCAGUGGUUGUAACAAAGAUCAUAUGGCCUGCAAAGUCUAAAAUAUUUACUAUCUGGUGUUCUAAGAAAAAGUUUGCUGACCCUUGUUUUAAUAUUUUCCUUUAAAUGUUUUGAAUAUUUUAUAGUGUACUUUAUAUAACACAUAGUAGUAGUACAUGUAUAUAAUUUAUAAAUAAAUAUAGACAUAUAUUGGAGGUACACUUAAAAAUCAUUUACACAGGUGCGCUUGGGUGGCCCAGUUGGUUGAGUGACUGGCUCUUGAUUUCAACUCAGGUCAUGAACUCACAGUUCAUGGGCUUGAACUUUGCAUCAGGCUCUGCAUGGAGCCUACUUGAGAUUUCCUCUCUCUCUCUCUCUCUGCCCCUUCCCUGCUCAUACUCUCUUUGUGUCUCUCUCAAAAUAAAUAAUAAAAAAAUUAUUUACUCAUAUGUGGGCACAUUUAAGAACUUUUGGACACCACAGGUUUUAGGCUUACUAUUUAAGGAAUGCUCACUAAUGAUUGCCUUUGUUGUGGUGGUUGAUGUCAUGAAAGGCACACAUCUUGUUUUGUGCAAUGUUUGUAUUUUUAUUAAUCAAAUUCUAUGGGAGAAAGAAGAAGUACAGUGGCACAUUAAGGGUACCUAAUACAAAAUGGGAGAGAGGGAGAGGGACAGAGUGCGGAGAGAAAAAGGAAAAAGGAAGGGAAAAAGAAAAAAAAAGAGGCAGGCUACCUGCCACCAGCAGUGCCUGCUCAGAGCUGUCGAAUACACUUGUGUUAGGUUCAGAGUCAAAAGCACCUCUAAUCUGAUUGCAGUAUGUGCUGCCUGCAUGUUGCGAUUUGAAGUAUUUGAAAAGCUCCUCCCAUCCUCGAAGAAAGAAAACAUUAUCUUUAAUUGCUUUUUCUCAAAACCUGAAAUUUUCCUAGUUAGUCUGCCUCUCAGAUUAUGGGAUUUAAGGCUGUAUUGAAAAUACAUUCUGGAUACUGGGGGGAUCAUAUUAGGGCAUCUGCAGCCGUUAACUCCUUUUGUUAAUUAGCUAAUUGGAUUACUUGGUGCUCAUUUGCUUGGUUGAAAAGUAGCUGAAAGACCCUGAAUACAAACUCCUUCUUUGGUUUUGGUGAGAACAAACCAGCUCAGAAUGGCAGAGAUAGAUCAGAGGUGCCAUGGCUCGGGGCACAGAGUCUGAUGGAGAGGCCUGUUCCAGGCAGCUCUGAUCACUGGUCCGUCUGCAGGAAACAUGGUGAUCACAAGUUGCUUCUCUUGAGCUUGAAGGUUCAUUAGUCAGUGAGGUAAUAAGGACUAUAUAUUACCAAGAACUCAAGGCCCACUGAGAAUUUCUCCUGUAUGUAUUCAUCUCGGC